rnacentral:misc_RNA from 1 species
UUUCCGUAGGUGAACCUGCGGAAGGAUCAUUAAUGAGUUGUCAUGGGGUUCGAUGCUGGCAGCCAAUUUUUGGAUGCAUGUGCUUGCCCUAACAAUCAUCUUCCAAACACCUGUGCACAUUUUUGAGGGAGUCUUGAGUUGGUUGCCGCUCUUGGGUGAUUUUCUCACAUUCUCUUAAAUCAUUAUACGCUAUUAACAAUGUUGAACGUGCUCUGUGCCGCAAGGCUAUUAAUAUAAUACAACUUUUAACAACGGAUCUCUUGGCUCUC